GAUGCCACCUCUCUAAACUCCAACUCUCACCGCAUUCUCCAUCGCUCACCACCGCCUUCGCCAUCGCCGACGCCACCAUCUCUCACCAUCGCCAAGUACCACCGCCUUCGCCAUCGCUCACCGCCGUCGACCUAGAUGCACCCAGUUCGGCUACCGGCUCAGCGACGCCGUCGAAAGUUAUCCCGCCACCGUCGACCAGUUCACUGGUUCGCCCCCACGCCGUCGACGAGUUUGCCCACGACCGCUGGUUGAAAAUCUGGGGCGUUUAAAUUAUGACCUCAACAUCUCGAACGCUUGACAAUGCUAAUUUUACAAAUUUACAAGAAGAAAUUUAGAAUUUGAAGGCUACUAUUAUAUUGUUGUAUAUAUAUAUUUUGAAUUGACUAUUAUUACUUAGUAAAUAUGAAUUGAUAAUGUAAUAUUACUUUAACAUAAUGUGGAUUGAUAAUAUUUUAGAAUUAUGUUAUAUUUUA